rnacentral:rRNA from 1 species
CUACCGGGGUAUCUAAUCCUGUUUGCUCCCCACGCUUUCGCACCUGAGCGUCAGUACCGGGCCAGUGAGCCGCCUUCGCCACUGGUGUUCUUCCGAAUAUCUACGAAUUUCACCUCUACACUCGGAGUUCCACUCACCUCUCCCGGACUCAAAGAUUGCCAGUAUCAAAGGCAGUUCCGAGGUUGAGCCUCGGGAUUUCACCCCUGACUUAACAAUCCGCCUGCGUGCGCUUUACGCCCGGUGAUUCCGAACAACGCUAGCCCCCUUCGUAUUACCGCGGCUGCUGGCAC